AGGACUGUGAAUGCUUUGGAUGCUGAAAAAAUAUUACUUCAUUAAAAGGAUAUCUACCUCAAGAUUUAGGGUUAAUUCUGAUCCAAAGAUCCACAACGAAGUAAGAGGAAGGCAAUAUUCACGUUAGCACAAGACACAACAGAAAAGCUGUUGUCUACAUCUGUUGCAAGUGACAAGAUUGGGAGUUGGUGAAAAGCCGCACGUAUUUACAACGUGUUAAAACCACUAAGAAGUAAUUUUGUACUCCCCCUUCCAUGCCUGGCUGCAAUGGAGAAUUAGUGAUACUCUCUUCUUCUUUGGUAGGAAUGUAAAUAACUUCACAACAGAUGUUCCUUAUAAGGACAGAGCCUGUUAUUCGCAUUGUGAUGUCUCCAUUUGAAUGUUAUAUCCAAGAUUUUGUUGAAUUCCAUCUGGAAAGGCUUCAUUGGUUCCCUUUGGGUUACAAAAGCAGGGUUACUCUUUUCCGUUUUAAAUCUAAGUUUUCUGUUCUCUUUGGUUAUAAUCACAAAGUGCUUGCUUUCUUUGCUGAGUGGUAACUGUGCUGCUAUAUAGGUAUCCACGUUGUUCCUCUACAGUGUUUUAAAGUCUUAAACGUAUUUUGGUUGUCUAUAUUUACUGGACCUAAGAAUUUGUUCUAAAACUUUUUUUACUCUGCUAUUCUGUAGUAUUUGGAUAAGCAACAAAUGAGCCUCUCAAUUUGAAACAUUUAUCAGACCUCUUAUUUGUCUUGGCAUAAUGUUAGUAACUUUUCUAAUGGAGGAAGAAUUUUCAGAUCUGGAUUGCAAAUCACAGUACAAAAUACUGCCUUGGCUUUGCAUUUUUGUUGUAAAUUUUCUCACUUAUUUGGCUAGAAGUCUGCUGUUUGCUUUGCAUCAAUACUGGUGGUCACUGAGUUGCCACACAGUGGAAGCUACAACAGAAAGAGUGAAAAAAAUGCUUUUAAGAUUCUAAUUGUUUGUGUCUUCCUUUUAUAGAAGAGAUUGGGUUUUUAAAUUUUGUAUUAGCAGAAAUGUGAAUGAAUUAUGUUAUAAUGUCUUAUAAGAAGUUGAGUGCCAUUAAACCUUCUGAAUAAAUGACUGUUAAACAUUUUGAGCACUGCAAGAGAUGUAAUCUUGGAUUAAAAUGUAUUAAACCAUCAGUUGAAAAUAUUUAAUUUUAAUCAAUUAAGUACGGUAUGUUUCCUAUAACCAUAUAACACCGCUAUGCUAGCUUAUCUCUUUCUAUCACAUAAAUUCUGUCUUAAUCAUAGAAAACCUUAAUGGACACUGAAACCUAGGAAGUAAUAAUUUUACAGUUAGUUCAUCAAAGUAAAAUAAAAAUCCUGGUUUUUUAGUUGAUUCUCAGACGUUCAUAUACAAUGUUGCUAAAUUAUUAGAUGAGCAGCUGUUAUUAUGCCUUCUAAAAUAUUUCUGGAGAUUUUAUAAUGUUUCUGUUUGUUCUUUAAGCUCUAUUUCUACUUGAUCCUGCAAUUGUAGGAAAAAGAAUACACGGUCCAACACAGGAAAACCUUGAGACUGUGACUGUAACACUUUUUAUUUAAAAAAUUAAGAAAAUCAACUAUGAUCACCUUCUAAACAGCUCUGAGCUGACACACAGCUGCAUGCGAUGCUGCCAAUGUUCAAACCAAUUCCACAGGUCAUUUUCUGAAAGGCUGUUGAGGAUCUCAUCGGUUUUGCUUUCACAUCUUGUACUGACAAAGAAUGGGUUCCUCUGAGCACUGACUGGAUCUUUGGGAAGAAGGAGACGGGUUUAGUGAAUGCAGUGGGUGCUCAAGCAUGGCGAUGUUAUUAUUGGCUAAAAACCGCUUCACGGACAAAGCGUUGUGGGCUGGUGCACAGCGACAUUUCCUGACCAAGGGUGUCAGAAGCACUGAAUAGAAUAGCACCUGGCUCAGACUUCCACGGGAUGCCUUCUGUGAAGUCCUGAAGAGUAAAUAACUGAAAACUGGUCAUCGAGAGCAGUUUUCAACCAACUGUGGACUCUGAUAACGGUGGCCCGAUACUACCCAACACAACCUCUGGUGAGGACAGGGAAGCAAGAGUUCAGGAAAAACUUCCUGGCCAAGAAGGAGCUGUGGGAAUUCACUACCAGGUCUGAUUAAAGUGGAGACAGAGGAUCUACUGGGCCUGCAGAUAAUGCUGUGUAACUUUCCCUGGGGCUCAGUGGCUCCGUGGCUCCAACUUCAAUAUCUUGCGGGGUUCAGUCUUUCAAAGGAGGUCUGUGGCAGAGAUGGCAAAGGGAAUCUGCAGGCUAACUGUGGUCCAGUCAAUGUAUUAAUUCCAGCUCCGUAGGCUGUCAUCCGAACUGCCGCCAGCUGUAACAACUCGAUGCACUGCUCCGACACUGCGGCUUUUGCACGUGGCUGCAAAACAACAUCGGCAAAUCUUUCAGUCAGCUCCUUUUGCACGUGACACCUUUCUGAACGUUUGCUGUCAAACAUUAAUUUCCACGCAAAGGAGGAGGCAGCAGGAAAUCCAGUAAGACUGAAUGUAGAGAAAGAGUUUUCUGACAUUGUAGAUGCUGUAUGGCUGGCCUGAAGGAUGGCCCUCAGUGCAGGUGCGGUUGGACGCUGGUGGUGCAUUCAGAGCGUUUGUGUUCUGCCUGCAAGGUGAUAGGAAGCUUAAAAGCAUCUAUAGUUAGGGGUUCACUUAUCUUGACCUACUUGAUUGAAGCACUGUUUCAAUAUGGAAGUUUUAGUAUCAAAUAACUCUUCUCUCCCCGCUACUUUUUUUCUUUAUUAAGUUUUCGACGAAUGAAUAUCAGCUAAGUAUAGAGAACUAGAAAGAACCAAGUAACUAAAACUAUGUUAAGACUGAAGCAGCGGCUGUUACGCUGGCAGUAAGUAGCUUGAAGAAGUUAGUACUGUCUUCCACAUUAUUUAUAUUGUAAUGUCCUUUAAGCAAUAACUCGGUGGUGAUUAUGUCGUCAUCUGUCUUCUAAUGAAACGUGUGUCCUUACCAGCUGUACUUUGCAAUUUGUAUGUUAUAUAAUACUGAUCCUCUGGAACUUUUUAAUAGAACUCGGUCAACAAAAUAGAAAACCAGCUUAAAUAUCUUUAAAAAUGUUCACUUUAAGGACUUCUGUAUGGUUUAUUGUUUUUAUUAUUCAUUUGACCGAGGAGCCUUAUGGUUUGAGCGAUUGCCAGUUACAAACUGUAGGGUAGACCUCGAUUUGACUGGAAUCAACAGCAACGCGUCCAUUGAUUUAAUUUUACCUCAGAGGACUGGAAAAGAAUGUGCAGAGAGCAGGAUUAUGACUCCAGCCACAGAGUGGCUUAUGGAUUUUUGUCUGGUAUCUUUUUAUAUUCUUAAUAAACCUGAAAAUGAUUUGUAGCUACGAUUCACGGCAGAGUAUAUAUAAGCAAUACUAAUACAACCUGGUACGUCAGAUCCAGAAAGCUGUGUACCUUGUGUGCUAAGGUGACACCAGCCCAAUACGCACGUGACUUCACCUACCCAAAAACUCAUCGAUUCUCUAGGAAGAGAGUAAAGUAUUUGUGUCGCUUCAGUGCUAGGAUGACAUGGAAACUAUUUUAGUAAUAAAUGGAAAGGAGGGCAUCUAGAGAUUAAUUUAAAAAGACUGGAAAUAAGUUGACAAAAUUUAUAAAUAAUUCCAUCUCUGAAAGAAAAAAACAGUGCAAAUUUGGUAAUUUCUGCUGUGGAACAAAUGUCCUUGUGAUUUGCAAGAUGCUUUCUCGCACGUACAGUCCUGUUAAAGAGUGCAUAGCGCUUGGACAUUCUAAGCAUCUCUGUAGCAUGGAUUUUCUCCUUGGGAUUCUUUUUUCAGAACAUGGUUGCACAUUAAAACUUUUUUAGGAUUGAGACAUUUUAACCUUUUUUUUUUCACUUUGGGUGAUAGUUUCUCAGAGAUGAGUCAAAAUGCUCGCGAGAGGAGUGUUUAGCGACAAUCUUCAGCAUUUCGGGUGCU